rnacentral:rRNA from 1 species
UACGUAGGUGGCAAGCGUUGUCCGGAUUUACUGGGCGUAAAGAGCGCGCAGGCGGUCGGAUAAGUCGAGUGUGAAAGCCCCUGGCUCAACCAGGGAGGGUCAUUCGAUACUGUUCGACUCGAAGGCAGGAGAGGGAAGUGGAAUUCCGGGUGUAGUGGUGAAAUGCGUAGAUAUCUGGAGGAACACCGGUGGCGAAGGCGGCGUUCUGGACUGUUUCUGACACUGAAUAACGAAAGCCAGGGGAGCAAACGGG